rnacentral:rRNA from 1 species
UCGAGAAUCUUCGGCAAUGGACGCAAGUCUGACCGAGCGACGCCGCGUGCGGGAUGAAGGCCUUCGGGUUGUAAACCGCUGUCGUAGGGGAGGAAAUUCUGGUGGGUACUCCCAUCAGAUUGACUGAUCCUAGGAGGAAGGACCGGCUAAUCUCGUGCCAGCAGCCGCGGUAAUACGAGAGGUCCAAACGUUAUUCGGAAUCACUGGGCUUACAGAGUUCGUAGGCGGUCCAGAAAGUGGGGUGUGAAAGCCCUCGGCUCAACCGAGGAACUGCGCUCCAAACUACUGGGCUAGAGGAAGAUAGAGGUGAGCAGAACUGAUGGUGGAGCGGUGAAAUGCGUUGAUAUCAUCAGGAAUACCGGAGGCGAAGGCGGCUCACUGGGUCUUUUCUGACGCUGAGGAACGAAAGCUAGGGGAGCAAACGG